UACGUAGGCAGCAAGCGUUGUUCGGAAUUACUGGGCGUAAAGCGCACGUAGGCGGAUUGCUAAGUCAGGGGUGAAAUCCUGGAGCUCAACUCCAGAACUGCCUUUGAUACUGGUGAUCUCGAGUCCGGGAGAGGUGAGUGGAACUGCGAGUGUAGAGGUGAAAUUCGUAGAUAUUCGCAAGAACACCAGUGGCGAAGGCGGCUCACUGGCCCGGUACUGACGCUGAGGUGCGAAAGCGUGGGGAGCAAACAGG
rnacentral:rRNA from 1 species